CCCUAACCACGCGGACCGCUGCGUCAUGCCACGCCAUCCCAUACCUAACCCCUUGAAGGGAACGACAACUGAGUAAAUAAGGAAUCAGGGAUAUCGACCCCCUCCUCUAUGGGCAUCAUAUCCCAAGGGGGGACCCGUGGAGCGGACUUGGGUGCACACUAAAAACAGUCGGGAGGUAAGCUUAUCAAGCUUUCCUGGUAAGCCGCUCCCGCACCACCCGAUGGAGUUCUCAUAUGGAC